UACGUAGGGGGCAAGCGUUGUCCGGAUUUAUUGGGCGUAAAGAGCGUGUAGGCGGCCUUACAGGUCAGCUGUGAAAACUCGAGGCUCAACCUCGAGACGUCGGUUGAAACCGUAAGGCUAGAGUCCGGAAGAGGAGAGUGGAAUUCCCGGUGUAGCGGUGAAAUGCGCAGAUAUCGGGAAGAACACCCGUGGCGAAGGCGGCUCUCUGGG
rnacentral:rRNA from 1 species